rnacentral:rRNA from 1 species
UACUCGAGUGGCGAACGGGUGAGUAACACGUGGGUGAUCUGCCCUGCACUUCGGGAUAAGCUUGGGAAACUGGGUCUAAUACCGGAUAGGAGCCAUCUUUAGUGUGGUGGUUGGAAAGUUUUUUCGGUGUAGGAUGAGCUCGCGGCCUAUCAGCUUGUCGGUGGGGUAAUGGCCUACCAAGGCGGCGACGGGUAGCCGGCCUGAGAGGGUGUACGGCCACAUUGGGACUGAGAUACGGCCCAG